rnacentral:rRNA from 1 species
AUUGAACGCUGGCGGCAGGCCUAACACAUGCAAGUCGAACGAGUGGCGGACGGGUGAGUAAUGUCUGGGAAACUGCCUGAUGGAGGGGGAUAACUACUGGAAACGGUAGCUAAUACCGCAUACCAUCAGAUGUGCCCAGAUGGGAUUAGCUAGUUGGUGGGGUAAAGGCUCACCAAGGCGACGAUCCCUAGCUGGUCUGAGAGGAUGACCAGCCACACUGGGACUGAGACACGGUCCAGACUCCUACGGGAGGCAGCAGUGGGGAAUAUUGCACAAUGGGGGAAAGCCUGAUGCAGCCAUCCCGCGUGUAUGAAGAAGGCCUUCGGGUUGUAAAGUACUUUCAGCGGGGAGGCGGUAUCCGCAGAAGAAGCACCGGCUAACUCCGUGCCAGCAGCCGCGGUAAUAC